rnacentral:rRNA from 1 species
UACGUAGGGGACAAGCGUUGUCCGGAUUUACUGGGCGUAAAGAGCGCGCAGGCGGUCGGUCAAGUCGGGUGUGAAAGCCCCCGGCUCAACUGGGGAGGGUCAUUCGAUACUGAUCGACUCGAAGGCAGGAGAGGGGAGUGGAAUUCCCGGUGUAGUGGUGAAAUGCGUAGAUAUCGGGAGGAACACCAGUGGCGAAGGCGACUUCCUGGCCUGUUCUUGACGCUGAGGCGCGAAAGCUAGGGGAGCAAACGGG